GGGGGCACAACGCUUUUAAUGGGAUUCCGCAGAAAUUACUUCUCAAAAGCUUCAACUGUAAACAUAGCACCACCUCCCGAUCUUUUUUUACUCUGUGAUAUCCUGGUAAUUUGUAUAUUGUAGCGAUUUCGGAGAUAAAAAGCUACUGCAGUUUUUGCUUCUAUAAUCAGAUUCACAAUCACUUCGGAGGAAAUCCACCCGAAGAGCAUAAUCCAUUGAGUACCCUACCGAUUUACACCCAACUAAUUUUACAGAUUCAGCAAAAUGCUACAGAUUUACCUAUGCCUGAGUGUUGUUGUCAACAUGGUCGUCUUGCAGGAGGUUGAGGAACCUGUUUCAUACACGUGUACAGAUGGCUAUGAAUUUGACAUUGAUCGACAAGAAUGCAAAGGUAAGAAGUGAUGAACUCUAGUCAAAUCUUUGAAAAGAUUGGUUAAUAUUUGAUUAGAUGGGAAUAAU
rnacentral:lncRNA from 1 species